UACGUAGGGGGCUAGCGUUGUCCGGAUUUAUUGGGCGUAAAGAGCGUGUAGGCGGCCAGGUAGGUCUGCUGUGAAAACUCGAGGCUCAACCUCGAGACGUCGAUGGAAACCGCAUGGCUAGAGUCCGGAAGAGGAGAGUGGAAUUCCUGGUGUAGCGGUGAAAUGCGCAGAUAUCAGGAAGAACACCCGUGGCGAAGGCGGCUCUCUGGGACGGUACUGACGCUGAGACGCGAAAGCGUGGGGAGCGAACAGG
rnacentral:rRNA from 1 species